UUGACCUGCUGUUUAAAGAAUAAGUAAGGAUUUUGAGUGGUCCAUUUGCCACCGUUAUCAGUGUAAACUGCUCUGUGCCCUGUGAGGAAGGAAAGCUUUGACAGGCGUCACAGCUAGCUGGUGUGGGUUUUAGUUUUAGAACAUACUGAGACAUGAGGAGCAGACAGUGGUUUACGCUCCAGCCCUGCCUUUUCUUGGUGUUUGCCACUGCUGAGCUUUCUUCUCUCACUCCACAGCCUGAAGGUACCAAAGUCUAAGUCUGGGCUCAGUCUGUCUACACUGAAGCUGAACUUUUAAUCUGUACUGCAGAAAAGGUUUUCGCCUUGGCCUGUGUGUAUGCUUGGGGCUUGAAUGUUUUCGUCUAAAAUAAAAAAUUAUUUAAAAAAACAGCAAAAGGAAAUUAAUUCGUUCAACAAUUAGGGAUGCUGGAACAUUUGCAGGCAGCAUCCAUCUGUAAAAAAUAUUCUCUUUCACCUCCUGCACAUGUCCUACAGAACCACGAAGCGUUUAAUAUUUUUGGUUAUCAGAGUUUUAAGUAAUGACAAAUGUUAAUUCUUUAGCACAAACUUAUAACUCAUUGUCACGUCUAACUUACACAACCAAUGAAGGCAACCAGUCAGAGGUGGAAUAGGGUAGGUCUUGCAAGAAAAGCAUCCCAGCACAAUAAUACUUUUGCAGUCUUUGAGUGAAGAACAUUUUCUGGCAAGAGAGAAUUUUUAGGUCAUGUAUUAUAAAAAACUGCAAACCUCUGCUGACCUGACGAUAACUGCAUCCCAUCAGUGAGGGCUUGUGUGAGGAAGGAGAGGUGCUAUUUGUGGAUGAUCUUUCUUUUUAAACUUGCAUUUUCCCAAGCAAAUUUAACAGGCUGUGGAACACAUCAAAGCUGCCAUUCGAAAAGGAGAGGGCCUGUCAUUGCUUGUACCCAGGCCAUAUUGUGAACAUAUGGUCCCAGGAGACACUUUUACCCUGUUUGGUGAAAACAUCAAGAACUGAAAGUGAAAGAGAAUAAACGAAAACCAUAGGGGUGCAAUAAAGUGACCAGUAAAAAGACUGUAUUGUGGAGUUUAGGUUAUGAACUCUGUGCCCUUGGUGGGAGUCGGAUAUCAGAGCCGGAGAAGUCGUGAUGAAUGUUUUCAUGGAUACAGACGGGGAGCGAGGGCCAGCUGUCGACCUGAUGUUUUCUUGUUCCCGCAUGACGGAGUGGGAUCAGGUGUCCAGGUGUCGAGCAGCAGCUGCAGAUCAUCUUCAAUCAUCUCUGCUUUAAAUACUGGGCCUCAGCUCUGCCUCGUUUUCCACUUGUAGAUUCUGCUACGCAGCCAGUCUCAUAGCCUGCUAAGAGCUCUUUGAUUGCUUGUACUUUUGUUAAUUCUCUGUGCCUUUAUCAUGGCCUGGCCUGAUGCCUGCCUCUGUCCCUCUCCCGUUAGAUCUGCUCUACCUCUCCUGAUUUGCAGGGCUUGCUCUUCCUAGUUUCCCUCAGUCAGUUCCCCAGCCCUGCUCAGCUCUCUGGCUCAGGCCCAAGCUCCAGGUCUCCUCUGGACACAGACUUCACUUCUUAAUCGUAACAAGUGCCAGUUUGUUCAUAAAUACUGGUCCAACUCAUCUGUUCUUGUGUUCUGUGUUUUGGAUCUGUCUGACAAAUUGUUUGACGUAAUGGCGGACAAUGUUCUCAUGCUUGAGUUCAGCAUGAUGGUCAUAAGUUAUUCUGUAUUUUCUCUGACCUCUCUUAAAUUCUUUGAAACAGAAGUAAUCCAUGCAGUGCUAGUGUUUAAAUUUGACUGAAAACACUGAUAUACUGAGAAUCUGCCUCUUUUUGCAGAACUUGGCACUAAACCCUGCUAAGCUGCUCUGCUAGCAGGUGAAAACAAACACUGAGGAUUAUUUGCAGCUUGUAUUUGGCCCCAACUCUGCUGAACUCUUGAAAGCUCUGCCUCAAAAAACACUGGACUUGUCACAGCAAAGAACAUUAAUGUCCUUGUUUCCUGUCACAAUAAAUAAAAGUCUUUGGGUGAUCACA